rnacentral:rRNA from 1 species
GAUGAACGCUAGCUACAGGCUUAACACAUGCAAGUCGAGGGGUAACGAGAGGAAAGCUUGCUUUCCUUGUCGACGACCGGCGCACGGGUGAGUAACGCGUAUCCAACCUGCCCCCAACUAGGGAAUAACCUUGCGAAAGUAAGACGAAUACCCUCUAAUUUCCUCAGAUGUCAUCUGACGAGGAAUAAAAAUUGACCGGUUGGGGUUGGGGAUGCGUCUGAUUAGCUUGUAGGCGGGGUAACGGCCCAACAAGGCAACGAUCAGUAGGGGUUCUAGGAGGAAGGUCCCCCACAUUGGAACUGAGACACGGUCCAAACUCCUACGGGAGGCAGCAGUGAGGAAUAUUGGUCAAUGGGCGGAAGCCUGAACCAGCCAAGUAGCGUGCAGGAUGACGGCCCUAUGGGUUGUAAACUGCUUUUAUACAGGAAUAAAGUUAGCCACGUGUGGUUAUUUGUAGGUACUGUAUGAAUAAGGACCGGCUAAUUCCGUGCCAGCCGCCGCGGUAA